ensembl:lncRNA
CUCAGCAACAACACUACUGCCUAACACAACAACAUUGUGCUCGGCAGUGAGGAAGACGAUGAGUUCCUGAGGAAGGAACAAGGGGAGCCGGGGGAGGGGGGCCAGUUUGACGUGAUCCCCCUCUACUCUGAGAGGGCCACGGCCCCCAGCCUGGGGCCCCGGGGGGCCGCCACCACCGGGACCACCCCGCCGCUCCAAUGGGUCCUCCUGGUCUUCUCGGCUCUUCAUCUCAGCUGGGGUUAGGGUGACCUCCCGGGGGGGGGGGGGGGCACACACACACACACACACACACACACACAUUGAAAACCAACCACCCUGCACCCACAGACUGUUGUCCGGAGAAGGCUGGAGACGGGGAACGACACAAAAAGAAAGAACCCUCUACUACCCCCCCAGCAUCUUAUCUAUUCUCUCAUGUCUGCUCUGACUGUUGCGCUUGGGACCGCUCGUGGUCCCGUGUCCACGUCCAACCCUUUCCCCCGGCCCGUCUGCAGGCCGCCCCAGCAGCGUUGUGUGCGACGUAGGACGGGCUGCAGAGUCCCGGGCAGGAGGUGGAGCUGGUGCUGAGGCUGAGGAAGUAUGUGAUGUAUGAGACGCUUCUUCUAAGUGAUGGAUCUGCGUGGCCCGACACGUCUCUCUCUCCUCCUAAUAAGAAAAAAAUAACUACUACUACAAACAAUAUACUGGUCCAUAACAGCUUGAUGUGUGUGUGUGUGUGUGUGUGUGUGUGUGUGUGUGUGUGUGUGUGUGUGUGUGUGUGUGUGUGUGUGUGUGUGUGUGUGUGUGUGUGUGUGUGUGUGUUAUUCGCGUUGUUCAUGGAGAUAAUUACAGUCUUGGUGGAGGCAAAACAGAUUACAGAACUGUAUUACACAAUGGAUUUAUAAUUUUCACUCGCAAUUUGUUUGUUCCAUGCCGAGUAGUAGCCCACACACACACACACACACACACACACACACACAUUACAAACACACCAUCCAUAUCUCCUCUCGCCCUGCGUCUCCACCUGCUACGGGGACAGACAAAGCCACCGCGGGCUCAUAACACAAAUGAAGUCUUCACCAAUAAAAGCCACGCACCAGAAACAAUAUGAGAUCUAAAACGGCAGGAACAAAUCAAACACAGCUCCCCCUCCCAGCGGUACCAGGGGAUGUAGCGGCGGGAACGGCCAAGUGCGUGCAGCCGCAGAGACGGAGACGGAGACAGAGAGAGGGAGAGGAGAGGGAGAGGGAGAGAGAGAGAGAGAGAGAGAGAGAGAGAGAGAGAGAGAGAGAGAGAGAGGGGAAGAGAGAAGGUGGGCUCCCAUACCUGGUCUUGGAACAUGACAUCUCAACAGGAAACAGGCCGUAUUCAGUUAGGAGAGACCAGUUGCGCUAAAGUAUGACUCAGGGUCCCUGAUGAGACUGGUGGGGGGGGGUUAGUGAUUCAGGGGAGACAUUGUAAACAUUGUCUCCCCUGAGGUAGUGUGAAGGUCUGCACUGUGGCUUUGUGAGUGAGAAGUGGCGAUGGACUAACCCUAACCCUGGACCACUAAGGCUCUUUGAAGGAGCACACCUCCAACCCUAACCCUUCACCUAACCCUAACCCUAACCCUAACCCUAAACCUUAGACCCUCCAUCAGUGGUCCUAUAAGGCCGGGCUGGGCCUUAUAGGACCACAGUCUAGAGAAAUGGCGAGCGGAAACCGCCAGCCCGGGAGAAGUGGCACAGUUGUUUAAUUUCCGAUCUCCUGCUUCUCUUAGUUGUUUGUGUGAAGUGGGCAGGAUCUCACUUCCGUGGGACGGGGUUGGAGAGGAGGAGAGAGGUGAGGGAACAGGACGGAGGAGACGGAGGGAGGCCGAGUAAUGGAACACGCUAGGUUGAGGAAACAGGAAGAAAUGGAAGAAUUGAAAAGUGCAGAGAGACAGAAGGCGUGGCGGGCGUGCUCUCAUCCCGUCUACUCUUCCUUGUUCUUUCUCUCUCUCCCUCUCUCUAUCUUGUCUCUUUCUCCCAUCCCUCACAAGAGAAAAAACUUUAGCCACCCACGCACAAACACACACACACACACACACAUAAACACACACUUAGUCGCAAGAAACCCACCUUGACCUUGUUCUGUCUGCCUCCUGGGCGUGCAACCCCUCGUAUAAAAGGCCGUCCAUCAGCCGGAAACCCCAGUCCUACAGGGCCGAGAGAGGGGGGAGACAGGGGGAGAGGGGGGAGACAGGGGGAGAGAAAGAGAGAAAGAGAGCUGGGCUGUGUUACCUUUGGAUCUUUUCUAUCUUCUGUGACUCUGUGGUACAGCAUGACAUCAUUAAUGGACAGGUCACCCCCUCCCUCCCUCCCUCCCACUCACUCACACACACACACACACACACACACACACACACACACACACACACACACACACACACACACACACACACCCACAGUCGACCCCCGAGGGGUUAAUUGGGAUCAGAGGGGGUGGGGUUGAUGAUCGAUGUCGCUGUUGAGCUGUGUGAAAGAGAAGUCCUCCACACAGCCACUCUCUCUUUCAAGAUGCCCGUUGUUAUUUUUAAUUGUUUUUCGGGGGGGGGUGUUGUCUCUUGACAUGCACCCACUGGUCACCCCUUACACACACAGACACACACACACACACACACACACACACACACACACACACACACACACACACACACACACUACAAUCGUGACACACACAAGACCUUCUGAAGCCCCCUGGUGGAGUCGGACGUGGAGAGAGAGAGAGAGAGAGAGAGAGAGAGAGAGAGAGAGGGAGAGAGAGAGACGGAGGGAGGGAGGGAGGGAGGGAGAGAGCAGCGUGGACACUGAUGAUUUAUUUUAAUAUGUAGGGAAAUAAACAAGAGAUGAAGCCAUGCGUUAAAUCAACUCAGAGAGAGAGAGAGAGAGAGAGAGAGAGAGAGAGAGAGAGAGACAGAGAGAGAGCUGUGAUGCAGUGUGUCGGUUGCUGAAGCCAGAAGCUCCCUGCUCCAUUUCACACUCUGUAGGUCCUGACGCAUCAGCGCUGCUUACUGCCCAGGACUCUGUCACACACACACACUGAGUCACACACACACAUGCACACACACACACACACACACGCUAAAACACACACACUCACGCACACUCACUAACACACACAAACACUCACUAGCACACACGCCUGUGCAUAAAUGCAGAACAAAUCUGCAUAUCGGUAUGCACACAAUCACCCACAGAUUUACACACACAGACACACACACACACACAGAAAUACUGGCACCCCUACUUAUUCACAGGCGCACAUUUUUUUCUUUUAAACAAUUGCCUUGUAGCACAUUAUCUAUUGCACACACAGAUGCAUUUGUUACUGUAGGGACACACACACACACACACACACACACACACACACAAGCACAGCCGCACACACAAUGAGACACACACACACAUAGCCACACACACAGAGACACACACAUUAUUGUGUUUUUCCCAGCUGGUACGGCGAACAAUGUAACGCAUUGAACAGUCAGGUCUGAACCUGUUUUUUGCAACCUGCUACUGUUAGGAAAAUUAGGAAGAGAACUGUUUGAGGAAGCAAACAUUGCAGUGGUUGAUUUCAGCUUUUUGGACUUUUGCUUGAAAACUGUGUAGCUCUCAGCUCUCCUAACCUGGCCAUCUACCUGCACACAAACAGUACUUUGAACAGUAUAGCAGUACCACGGGCGGUGUAGUAAACCUAAAGAGUAUACGAGUACUACAGGCUUAUACUGUAGUGAUUCUCUUUUGUAUUGUUUUGGAUUUUUUUUUAGCUUUUCAUGCAAUCACCUGUGAACUUUUUAUUUCGUGAAACAUUUCCUCGUCAGGGUAAAGAUUUUUCUUUGUGGGUCGUAACUCGGGAGAUUUUCUUCAUUUGUUUUUGUUCGUGUGGCGAAUGCCCCCCCCCUCCUCCUCCAAGGCACACCUGUGCACAGCUCUCAACUCUUGCCACUGUCAACCCUGUGUUGCCGUGGUGACGCUUGAUCCUCGGUUGCUGCCCCCCGCUGAGCCAAAGCUAAAUGGAGCUGAAUGAUCUGCCGAUGUUUGAUUCUUUUCAAUACCUGCUCGGCACCUGGCGAGGCCGCACUGGGACAUUCCGCUCCUCGGUGUCGUCGUUGUUGUUGUUGUUGUUGUUGUUUUCUCUUCUCCCCGAGACAACACAUCCCCCUCAACCCACCUGUCCCCCUCCCCCCUCCCCCCGCCUCCUUCCUCUCCCCCCCCCCUCAUCCCCUCCUCUCCUCUCCUCUCCCUUAUCCUCUUUGCUUCCCUCCUCUUCUUUCAUCUCCUUUUACUCCCCCCUCAUCCCCUCCUCUCCUCUCAACUCUAUUACUCUACUCCCCUAUCAUUCCCUCCUUCUCUCCUCUCCCCUCCAUAUGCCAUCCUCUCCUCUCUUCCCCUCUCCUUCUUUCCACUCUUUGCUGCUCUUCCCUCUCCUCUUUUCUCCUCUAAUCUCCUCUCCUCUCCUCUCUCCUCUUCCCUCUUCCCCUCUCCUCUCUCCUCCCUCCUCCUUUCCUAGGCCAGGUAGUUACAAGGCGAAAUGGAAUAUCAUUGACAGCGAUAUGAGAUGAAGACACAAAAGCACACAAACACAGGCACACACACUCGGAUGCGCACAAGGGCGGGUAAACACACACACACACACACACACACACACACACACACACACACUCGCACAGGCACACAGCCCUACCAGACUCACGCUGUGGCUUCAAAUGAGGCCCACUUUCAUGAGCGGCUGUACCGCGUGACGGCCCACCCUGUAACCAGAUGAAACGUGCCCUUCUUUCUCUCGCAUUUCCCUCCCCGGAGGAAAAAUGCUCUUAAGGUUUGGAGCAUCAGCCAUGAAGGGAACUCUGCCUUUUAUUUAUUUUUUUAUUUCCUUUGGGUCUCCACAUGACAUAACACAGAUUUUCCUUUUUUUUUGCCCCUGUUCUUUGCCCCACCUGCCCCUAUGUUGGUUAUUUGCCCCACCCUAUAUUGGAGGACUGAGCGUGCUGGCUCUGUGUGUCAAAGGACCAUACAGACGUGUCUGUGGUGCAGCGCAGCGGGGAACUGGCAGCAGGGAGUGUGGAUCUAAAGUCGUUGUAGUGCCUGGAUGUUGUUCAUGUGUGCCGCCUCGUCCUUUUCAAUGGGAGCCCCCUGAUUGAGAAACUCAUGAAAAACAUUCUGCAUUUUCUUUUGGGCACGCUCACAAAUAAAGGGAAGGACGUUUGGACGUUUCAUGAUAAAAAAUUGUCUCGAAAAAUGAUGGACAGAAUCUUUGGGAUUAAUCCUCUCUUCAAUGCCUUGUUUCCUUCGACUGGUGUGCAACCCAAACAUGCUCCCACAUCCCGUUUCACUGAAGCAUGUCCACCUACGAGGGGUCGCUUUGUCCCACUCUCCUGCCUUUCCAUCUUAACGUGUCCCUUCUGUGCUCUUUCCUUCUAGCAGUCCUAUCGCCCACAAACACGGACGUGUUUGUAUGUCGACAAAAUUAGCUUUAUUUUUAACCCCAAAAAAUGUGAGGAAAGGCUCAUAUAAAAGGAUAGAUUGGUCCUGGAUCAGUUGAGUUUGGUGGUGACAAAUAUGUAUGUCUGCGGCAUAUAUGUGGUCCUGCAUGGACUGUUUUCAAUUUCCGGUUAUUUCAACAUUUCUCCCGAAACCCAAAUCCUACACCCUCUCUCUCGGGGCGUUCGGCAACCCCCCCCCCUCGCUAUGUUCACCGUGAAAUAAAAUAAAUGUAAAAGCUGACUUCCUCUUCUUCUUCUUCAUCCUUCUGAGUUUCUCUCCUUGGGAGUGAUUCCUGGGUAGGCUCCAGCUGUGUUCGGCGGGAGCAUAUGGCCCCAGUGUAUGAAUGCACCAUUUAAAACAGCGCUGUCACAUAAAGGGAGCAGCGCCGCGAUGCGGACGCGCCGAUCACGUGACGAUGACGUGUUUAGGGGCUGCACAUCGGCCUCUGCCGAGCACGUAUAAAGACAUGUUUAUGUAGUGUUUUCCCAAAAUGUAUAUGUAUUAUGUGUAUAUAAAAUACAGAAAGAUCUCUGAACAGUAACCAACUUGAAAAAUAAAGACUGGAUGAACUAAAAAUAAAGAAGAA